GCCGCGGUAAUACGGAGGGUGCAAGCGUUAUCCGUAUUCAGUGGGUUUAAAGGGUGCGUAGGAGGGCAGGUAAGUCAAUGGUGAAAUCUCCGAGCUUAACUCGGAAACUGCCGUUGAUACUAUCUGUCUUGAAUAUCGUGGAGGUGAGCGGAAUAUGUCAUGUAGCGGUGAAAUGCUUAGAUAUGACAUAGAACACCAAUUGCGAAGGCAGCUCGCUACACGAAUAUUGACUCUGAGGCACGAAAGCGUGGGGAUCAAACAGGAUUAGAUACCCUGGUAGUCCACGCCCUAAACGAUGGAUACUCGACAUACGCGAUACACUGUGUGUGUCUGACCGAAAGCAUUAAGUAUCCCACCUGGGAAGUACGACCGCAAGGUUGAAACUCAAAGGA
rnacentral:rRNA from 1 species